AAAGGUCUCCCUCUUCUGCUGGCGGUGCAAGAGUGUGCCCUGUGACAGCUGGGUGCUCUCUUGCUGGCACCCCUGGGAGGCUGCCACAGAAGGGAAGGAGAUGCUGGUUCACGGUCUGUUUCCGCACAUCUGCAUUUGCCAUGCAGCCUGUUCUACAGUCAGCCGUGAUAAAAGUCACCAUCUUUGUUUCCAGUGGUACUGAAACUCUGUCCACACGGUGGUCAAAGGGUAGGUAUCAUUUGACAUUUCAUGUUUUGUAGUUUUCAGUGUAGAAAACAUUUAACAAUCUAGGGGUUUUAAUGGUAUUUAGCAUAAGCAGAGCCACUUUACAGCCAUUUUACAAAACAUCCUUUAAGUUCUAUACUUUUCUGCUUCAAUACAGAGAAAUUUCUCACCACCUUAGACUCUUGCCCUUUCAUAUUUCCUAGGUUUUUUUAAAGGAGAUUGUCCUUAACAAUUUUUUUGCUUCUCUUCCUUGCUCCUUAUAAAAUCUUGUGAUAUGCAAGGUACGGUUUUGCAGUAGGCAGCUGGAAACAUAAAGCGAUCAGUAUUAACUGAUGCAUGAGGAAAGGUGAAGUAUUGAUAGCUCUAAGGUUUCUGUACUUUCUUCUCUUUUGAAGUAUGUUUUGCCAUCUUAAAAGUACUUUCACUGUUUAACUGUUUCUUUUUUUAUCCCUAAGCUAUGUUUUAAAUUGAACUAGAAAUUGCAUCUCCUUGCAUCAAAUAGAGUACUUAACUUUCAUUAGUCAGAGGUGAUUAUCAGAAUUUUUCAGAGUUUUUGUGGCACAUGUGAUUGAUAUGUGGAAUAUUGAAAAGAAACUUCUGCUGGACAGCCAUUGCUACUGAGCCACAACUUUCCAUUCUGUCAGCUCCAGCCUGACUUUGAUCUUCACAUUCCAGGGGAAUACAGCAAGAUAGCACAAACCAUGUUUUAUUCCUUACUCUUUAGAUUCCCCUCACCGCAUCCCUCUAUGUUUUUCCAGCUAUUUUUAGAUUCUUGUGUCCUUGCCUCCCUAGAGCUAUUUUGGGUAAAAAUCACUUAGUUUCCUAUGAAAUUUGCCUGAGAAAUACUGCAGGACAAGACCCAGGUAAGCACCUCCUGCAGAAUACUAAUUUAUACUCCUGUUCAUGUGUAUGUAUAUAUAAUAUAUGAAAUUGCCAUUAUGUGUUCUACUGGCUAGAGCCAGGGGUAGCUGUCAGCAGACCUGAAUCUCUAAAAUCUCGUUCCAAGGCUGUAGCUUGGUCUUAGUAAGUUUCUUAACCUCCCCCAUCCUCAGUUUCCUUACUCAGGAAUAAACAGUAUUAACUUGUCUUUCUAAGGUGCUUUAACACUUUGGAUGGAAGGUUUUCUCAAAGUGCAUCGUGGUUUUGCUUUGUAUGGUGAUGCUGUUAGCUGGGCAUCUUGCAACCAUUGUGCCAAAAUAACAGAAAGCAAUGCUUGUAUUUUUCUGUUCUUAGUUGGAGAUUUUCUUUAUCAUUCUGAAUUCCAGUUGCACGUAUCGCGGCAUAAGAGCUGUUGUGGAAGGUGGCAAAGCUGAGCUACAGGAGUGUGUGGACCACACCUGAACGAGACAUAAACAGUGUGUGGCAAUAAUGGGGUAAGAUUGUGUGGCUAUAAUAGUGGAGAAAUGUAUAUAAAUUACAGAGGCUGUUAAUAUGUUUUGGAGAGCUUUAAGGACUUUGUUUAGCUGGUUGAAAGUAGUCGUUCAUGAUAAAGCAGAACUCAUAGCUUCCUUAAUGGUUCUCUUGACCUGUUCUCUGGAGCAGUAAGAUUUGGAAAGCCCCAGAACCAGUUUGAGCCAGAAAAAGGAGACAUAGUAACCACUAGCCUAAAAAAAAGGAAGGAGAAAGAACCCGCCUAGAGAAGAGAAAAAGGAGCCAGCGAGAGAGAGAAGACCCCAGAGCCAAACAUUACUAUUGGACCAGACUCUGGUGUGAGGGGCAGGAACUUAAGAUUGCAAGGGUGGAACUGCCCACGGAAUUUAGUGUUUGGGGUCCUGCUCUGGAGGCACACAGCUCAAGCUGUCUAAAUUUGUGCUUUUUAUUUUGAAGGCCUUGAUUAGAGAUUCUACGUCGGGGAACCUAGGGUCGAGCCUGAGGGAAGACCCAGCACCCGAGGGCGAGCGUGUGUGAGGAGUCGGAAGGGGCACCUGCUGGCUCGCUGGGGUCGCAGCCUGGGCAGUUCAAGCCUCGGGUGGCUCGUGUGUGACUCCUUGACUGGGGUGGGAAUGCUCAGGCAGCGGCUUCUCCCUUAACAAGAGCUAUGGUUCUUCGAGAUGACAAAUAGCUACUCUGACGAAGCCAAGCAUAAAAGCAUAAGAUCAUCAGUUUAUUUAAGAAUUACUUCUAUGUGCCACUGAAAUACAGCCACUUCUGAAGACAGACAGACCAGCCACUUACAGAAACUGAAGUGUGUCUCGGCCAACUGAAAUGACAGGGGAACUGAAAUGCUGUGCUGUGGAAGGCACUAAUGUCAAGAGCUCAGCAGAAACAUCCCAGGGAACAGCAACAUUCUGGGCUGUACAAUGUUCUGCUCCUGUCCCCACAGCUACAUAAAUUUUUCUCCAUUACAAAUUCCUUCCUACCCAUGUUUCUUUUCAUCUUUCCUCUGUUUUUCUGUGCUGCCUAUUCAUUUAUUUUCAUCUCCCGUUUUAAUCUUCUUAGUCCUUCAAAUAUGCUGUAUGUGCCCUCUAAAGGAGCGGUUCAUACACAGCAGAGCCUGCAAUUUCUUAAAAGCAACAGGACCUGUUCAUGAGGCUGAAUUUUGCUAGCAUCCAAGUGCCCUUGAUUCACACUGGGAGUUCAGGGUGCCCAUGACUGAGUCCACUAUAAACUUGUUACAAUGUCAUUAAUGUCUCAAAUGCCUUGAGAAUAUUUCAGGAGCCAAGACUGAGCCUGGUGCCUGUGCAGAAAAAGAAAUGCUUUCAUCACAUGCACAGCUAUAUGCCUCUUGCUCCAGAUGGGUGAUGCAGAACCAGAAAGAGCAGCUUGCCUGAAACUGCACAGCAAGUGUCAGGAAAGGAAUGGGACCCUGGCUCCCCAUGGCAGAACUGGCCAGACUGAAGCAGAGGAGGUAAACUGUUCCUCAAAACUAGGGACUGCAUGUGGCCUAACACUGAAAGAGUAAUCCAGGAAAGGAGAUGGCAGUGUGCAUUCCUUGUGCACAGGGUCUGACUCUUAGGGCUGAUGGUGGCCCGUGCUACAGUGCAACUACAGCUUUGUUAAUUUUCAUGCCUUUGAAAAUACUGGGCAUACAGAUAAUCCUUUGCACUUUUCUUGAAGGGUUCAAAUGCUUAAUUCACCUUCUCACUUUGCUCUACUCUGGGUGAACAGACUGUAACACAUCAGAACUGGCAGGGUAUCCCCCCUUGUUAUCCUUCCUUCUUGUUCUGGCAGAGGCAGAGUCUCUGGCAGAGACUUUGAGGAUGAAGAGAAAAGGACCUUUAAUGGUAAGAAACUGACCAAGUUACUGUGUGCUCUAGUGCUAGCGUGCAUCAAUCAAGAUCUCAGAUACGUAGUUUGACCCACUAUAGCUGAACAGGGUUCUGCAAGCAACCAUGUGGUGUAUGACAAAGGCAGCAAAUGCCAAGCAAAGAUACAGUCACCGUCAGCGAAGAGGAUACAACAGUUUCCUCUAACACCGGUUCUGCCUUUGUUGUGCAGCCCAGAAAAGAAAAGUCCAUGCUCUUGAGUCCUACCUGUCCACAACAGGAUCGAGCCCAGCUCCAAGCUUUGGUGUGUAUGUAUAGUAUUUGUGAAGCUAGAAAAAAUCUCAUCAUGAGUUACUGCACAAUAAACCUACCUCUUCAUUUGUACCUAAGUGGAUACCCUGUUCCAUUUUUACAGCAGCAUAUUUUGUAAGUAAAAAAUAGGAGUUCAUUAAAAAUAGAUGUAUUUCUUGCUAGGAAGUCUUUGGUUUAAAUGCCCAUUUUCAAACAUUAUAUAUGAAAAUGCUCAAGUCCUGCAGUGGGUCACUUACUAAAAAUUUGAUUUGAAGAUCAGCCUACAAGUCAUAAACAGUCUCAUAAAGAUAUAACUAUCAUAAUAACUUUCCUUUUCCCAGUUGGAAAUACAAGAUGAACUGUUCUGAAGCACCUAAUGUAUGACUAAUGUUUAUUUGUUUUACAAGAAGCUUUACAGCUGCAGUGUUCCAAGAAUGCUUAAAUUCAAUAAACAGCUAUUAUAAUUCACUGAAUGGUGGCAUU